UACGAAGGGGGCUAGCGUUGCUCGGAAUCACUGGGCGUAAAGGGUGCGUAGGCGGGUUUUUAAGUCAGGGGUGAAAUCCUGGAGCUCAACUCCAGAACUGCCUUUGAUACUGAAAAUCUUGAGUCCGGGAGAGGUGAGUGGAACUGCGAGUGUAGAGGUGAAAUUCGUAGAUGUUCGCAAGGACACCAGUGGCGAAGGCGGCUCACUGGCCCGGUACUGACGCUGAGGCACGAAAGCGUGGGGAGCAAACAGG
rnacentral:rRNA from 1 species